rnacentral:rRNA from 1 species
UACGUAGGUGGCAAGCGUUGUCCGGAUUUACUGGGUGUAAAGGGCGUGUAGGCGGGACAGCAGGUCAGAUGUGAAAUGCCCGGGCUCAACCCGGGAGCUGCAUUUGAAACCUCUGUUCUUGAGUGUCGGAGAGGAAAGCGGAAUUCCUAGUGUAGCGGUGAAAUGCGUAGAUAUUAGGAGGAACACCAGUGGCGAAGGCGGCUUUCUGGACGAUAACUGACGCUGAGACGCGAAAGCGUGGGGAGCAAACAGG